rnacentral:rRNA from 1 species
AUUGAACGCUGGCGGCAGGCCUAACACAUGCCAGUCGAGCGGAUGAAGGGAGCUUGCUCCUGGAUUCAGCGGCGGACGGGUGAGUAAUGCCUAGGAAUCUGCCUGGUAGUGGGGGAUAACGUCCGGAAACGGGCGCUAAUACCGCAUACGUCCUGAGUGAGAAAGUGGGGGAUCUUCGGACCUCACGCUAUCAGAUGAGCCUAGGUCGGAUUAGCUAGUUGGUGGGGUAAAGGCCUACCAAGGCGACGAUCCGUAACUGGUCUGAGAGGAUGAUCAGUCACACUGGAACUGAGACACGGUCCAGACUCCUACGGGAGGCAGCAGUGGGGAAUAUUGGACAAUGGGCGAAAGCCUGAUCCAGCCAUGCCGCGUGUGUGAAGAAGGUCUUCGGAUUGUAAAGCACUUUAAGUUGGGAGGAAGGGCAGUAAGUUAAUACCUUGCUGUUUUGACGUUACCAACAGAAUAAGCACCGGCUAACUUCGUG